rnacentral:rRNA from 1 species
UACAGAGGGGGCAAGCGUUGUUCGGAAUUACUGGGCGUAAAGGGCGCGUAGGCGGCCGGCUAAGUCAGACGUGAAAUCCCUCGGCUCAACCGGGGAACUGCGUCUGAUACUGGGUGGCUUGAAUCCGGGAGAGGGAUGCGGAAUUCCAGGUGUAGCGGUGAAAUGCGUAGAUAUCUGGAGGAACACCGGUGGCGAAGGCGGCAUCCUGGGCCGGCAUUGACGCUGAGGCGCGAAAGCCAGGGGAGCAAACGGG